rnacentral:pre_miRNA from 1 species
GGCACAAACUCGAAGUAGUGUAGUUUAGUAAGAUCAGAUGAUCCUUCUAAUCUACUCUACUUCAUAUAUGAGCUC